AGCGAACGCUGGCGGCAGGCCUAACACAUGCAAGUCGAACGGAGUCUUCGGACUUAGUGGCGGACGGGUGAGUAACACGUGGGAACGUGCCUUUAGGUUCGGAAUAACUCAGGGAAACUUGUGCUAAUACCGAAUGUGCCCUUCGGGGGAAAGAUUUAUCGCCUUUAGAGCGGCCCGCGUCUGAUUAGCUAGUUGGUGAGGUAAAGGCUCACCAAGGCUACGAUCAGUAGCUGGUCUGAGAGGAUGACCAGCCACAUUGGGACUGAGACACGGCCCAAACUCCUACGGGAGGCAGCAGUGGGGAAUUUUGCGCAAUGGGCGAAAGCCUGACGCAGCCAUGCCGCGUGGAUGAUGAAGGUCUUAGGAUUGUAAAAUCCUUUCACCGGUGAAGAUAAUGACUGUAGCCGGAGAAGAAGCCCCGGCUAACUUCGUGCCAGCCGCCGCUGUAAAAC
rnacentral:rRNA from 1 species